CAAUAGCGUAUAUUAAAGUUGUUGCGGUAAAAAAGCUCGUAGUUGGAUUUCUGUUGAGAGCGACCGGUCCAUACCAUGUAUGCGUAUCUGGCUUGCUCUCGGCAUCCUCUCGAUAGACGUUACUGCGCUUGAUUGCGUGGUGCGGAUCUCGGGACUUUUACUUUGAGGAAAUUAGAGUGUUCACGGCAGGCUUUCGCCAGAAUACAUUAGCAUGGAAUAAUACUAUAGGAUCUUGGUUCUAUUUUGUUGGUUUCUAGAAUUGAGAUAGUGAUUAAUAGGGACAAUUGGGGGCAUUCGUAUCAACACGUCAGAGGUGGAAUUCUUGGAUUGUGUUGCGACGAACUACUGCGAAAGCAUUUGCCAAGGAUGUUUUCAUUGA
rnacentral:rRNA from 1 species